GCCCGAAUAGCUCAGCCGGUUAGAGCACUUGACUGUUAAUCAGGGGUCGUUGGUUCGAGUCCAACUUCGGGCGCCA
rnacentral:tRNA from 6 species